UACGAAGGGGGCUAGCGUUGUUCGGAAUUACUGGGCGUAAAGCGCACGUAGGCGGCUAUUUAAGUCAGGGGUGAAAUCCCGGGGCUCAACCCCGGAACUGCCUUUGAUACUGGGUAUCUCGAGUCCGAGAGAGGUGAGUGGAAUUCCGAGUGUGGAGGUGAAAUUCGUAGAUAUUCGGAGGAACACCAGUGGCGAAGGCGGCACACUGGCUCGGUACUGACGCUGAGGUGCGAAAGCGUGGGGAGCAAACAGG
rnacentral:rRNA from 1 species